UUGUAAUGUGGGUGCCAAAGAAAAGGCUUAUAGGCUCAAAUGGGCUGUCUACAGAUAAUUUUAUAUAUGGUGGCAUAAUAACUCAAUGGACAAUCAAAGGAACGCCUACAUCAUCUCUUAGACUCACAAAGCUUACUUAUUUUACUUCAACUAACACACAUGUAAUAGAAACCUCACAUCACACAAUGCACAUGACCCCAGUCAGGAUGGUUCCAUUCCAACUCUCAAGUUUAGGCAAGUAAUCAAAAAGUCAAGAAGUAUUAAGCAAUAUAGAACUACAUGAACAAUGAGUCAAGUAACUGAGAGAAAGCAUCAAAGACAUGUUAUUCAAUCUUUCAUGGCAUCAAUUUUCAUUAAAACAUAUUGGGAAGAUAAUUUGCAUGCUAAGGCCUAACUAUGCUGGCACAAACAAGUCAAAAGGCACAUAAGAGCACUCAAGUUUUCUUCCCUCGAUUUUAUAAAAAAUUAAAAAAACAAAACUACCCGGUUCAAGUUAAAUCCCUUGGAAAAGAACCGAUGCCAAAAGAAAAACCAAGGGGGAUUAUUAUCUACCUACGACUCAAUAUAAAAAAAAUAUUUUUGUAUUUUUUUAUUGGACCUUAAUCCCUCAAGAAAGAUGUCCAAGAGAUCCAUCGUCAGGAAAAGUCCAAUUUUUUUAGUCAAACUAACACAACUAAAUUAUCAUAGAAAAUCACCCAGACAAUCUUCUCACCCCACACUUAAAAUUGUGCACUGUCCCCAAUACACACCAUAAAUAACAAGAAGGUGAAAGAAACUCCCUGAUAGGCCAAAGGCCGAAGCAUUAGCAGCUUAUGGGAUACUCAGACUUCUCCCAAGCCUGGUCCUUCGUGCGGAUACCUCACACUUAGUUCCAACCAUCUGGUUUGCUUUUGCAUCCUUCUAAUGGCUUUCCUUUCCAUGCUCCUACAAUAUUAAAAAAACUACAUUACAAAAAAAUAACACAACUAAACAGAAAGUAAACAAAUAAAAAAAGCAAUAAUGUUGGGUUGCCUCCCAACAAGCGUCUAAUUUAACGUCGCGACACGACGCAAAUUACUUUUUGACUCCGCCUCAAGAUUAUGAAUUGAACCCCAAGUUUUACUUCAAGCUUAUGAUUAUGCUCUUGGGGCGGUACAAAUUCUUGAGAGCCAAAAAAUAAAUAAAUUCUCAUGCACUUUUUGGCUUUCAACCGAGGAGUGUCACCUUGCCUAGACAGCCUUGGAAAUUUCAAAAUAUAAGGCUCAUCUACAUCUUCCUUUGACUCAUUUUUGUGCUCAUAUGAAUCAAUUCUCAUUUCACCAUCUAAACAUAAUGUAGAGAAGUGUUUGGAAUGAGGUGCAACACGCUCAAAUACAUGAACUUCAAUAUUUUCGACCUCCUCAACACCAAUCACACUAGAGUCAACUAAAUUUGUAUCUUCAAUAUCCUUUGCUGACUCUAGUAUUACUUCUUCAACAUCGACAUCUUCAAAUUCUAGUUAGAUAGAUUGUUGGUGUUCUACUCUGACCUCCUCCAUUUGCACUUCAAUUUCUGUAUCUAAUUCAUGCUCUUCUUGGCUAUUAUAUCCAAUAUUGGCUUGUUGAGCAUUAAAUGCUUCAUCCAAUUGACUCACUUGUGCCUCCAGGUUACAAAUAGUAGCAUCUUGCCUUUGUAUGUAUAGUUGUUUCUCAUCAUUUUAUUCCACAAGGCACCUUAGCAUAUCCUUGAUUUCUUUCAUAUUAUCAUCCCUGGGUUAUUUGUUCCCGUUAACUUCACAAGAAAAAGUAGAACCAUCAUACUAAGGGAUUGGGGGAAGAUAAGAAAUAUAAGUACAAUCAUGAAAGUGACCAUCUUGAUUACCACGUAAAUCACACACAUUCCAUACAUAAGAUUGAGUUGGGCACAUAACUCGCUCUUAGGAAUAUUUUGAUAAUUUUGCCAUGGGUGAUUUCCUCCACAAUAUGCAUAAGGAGGAUCAAAAGUAGAAUUACCAACAUCAAAACUUUCAUAAUUCCAAGAUGCCAUGUAUCUCAAAUCAAAAAUAAAAUCAAAACAAAAUAAAUAAAAUAAAAGUUCAAACUUGAUACCAAGCAAUAUUUACAGCUACAGCUACACCGUUAGUUCCCCGGCAAUGGCGCCAAAAUUUGAUCACGUCCAACUAUGCCUUAUAAAAAGGACUAAGUGGUAGUUACAAAUAUAAUCCGAUUUACAACUCCGGAGCCGAAUCUUUCAGAAAACUAAGGCUUAGCUAUAGUUGUUCAAUAUUGCUAAGAAACACAAGUUCAAACAAUUUCCUCAUUAUAAAGAUUAUAAUAUUUAUUUCUAACUAAUUAAUUAACAACUAUUAUAAAGCAACAAAAUUAUCACUAACAAGGAUGAAAUUUGAGACAAGACUAAGGAGGUCUAGAGUUAUGAUUUCCCAAUUGUCAGAAUCCUUCCCGCUAUGUUUUCUAUAAUUUCGCCUAAGUAUUCUCUGCCGAUCGUGAAUACUUCGGGUGUUAUAAUUCUCUUCCGAGAAACUACUACAAUUUACUAGACAUAUUCUUCCGAACUACGCUAGCUAGCACUAAUUCACCGCUCACUAAAGUCGCACCAAGGUUUCGUUAUUUCUAAUCCCACUUUUAAACCCUCCGUAUUGAUUCCUCACAUGCGUUAGGAGUGAUGUUGUUCAACAACUACCUAAAUAUGUAUUAUUUUCCAAGUAAUAGAUACUAAAUAGGCACAAUCAAUUGAUGUCAUUCAAUCAACAACAAUAAACCCGUAGUUGAACAAGUAGAGAAAUCCAACGGCUCAAUUAUAUAAAACGCAAUAGAAAAAUCAUACUUCAAAAGGUUUCAUCAAACCCCAUUUGAGAAAGUUUAGCUACUCAUAACCAUACUAACAAUCAUGAUAAUAAUUGAAAGCAUUAAAAUACAGAUUAAGGAAGAACAGAAGAGAAAACUCUUGUGAUUCGUCUUCCAAGUGUUCUCGUAGCUUUCUUGCCUCUCCAAUAAUGUCUCCUCCCUAAGAAAUAGGUUCAAAACCCCUUUUAUACAUGUUGGGGGCAUGUAGGGUCGAAACUACCAAGUCCUAGCUAAAAUGGCAUAAAAUCCGUCCAUAUCCAUCUCGCUUGGCGCCUAGCACCAAUCAGGACGUCGAAAUUUUUCACUAUUCUGCCUUUGGCGUUUUGGUUGGUGCCUGGCACCAACCUUGGGCUCAUACUCCCUCUAAAUUCUUCUGUUUUUAAUUCACUUUGCAUGCAAGCUUGCCAAAUCAAUUCAAAGUGACUCCUACACAUAUAAACAUCAUUAUUAAGCUCGAGUCACAAAUAUUACACCAAAGUUAACAAGAUUGAGGUAUAAUGCACGGCAAAUUACAUGCGAAAACAUGGAUUUUUAGCCUAACAUCAACAAAACUCACCUAGUUGCACAAAACAUUCUUUGCGAAUGCGAUACUCUAGUCGCGAACGCGAUUCACAAUCUCCAGCGACCUAUGCGAACAUGGAGUCUCUUACGCGAAUGCAGAUAACAAAUCUCGUGAUGCCCCUUCCAACUAUCCUUAUAUGGGAUCACGGAACAUAGCAUGCGAACGUGAAAGCAAAAGUCUUCCAAGCUUCGCGUACGUGGUCGCAUCAUCGCGAAUAUGAAGAACAAAUGAAUGCUACCAAAUUAUCUCUAUGCAAACGCGACUCCUUAGUAGCGAUCGCGAUGAAGAACACCAGAUAUCGGCUGACAACAAACCCAAAACAAGGAGAUAUGGACCAUAGCCCAUCCAAAACAUACCCAAGGCCCCAAGGACCCUGUUCAAUAAUACCAACCACUCCCAUAACAAAUGUGGACCUGCUCGGGGCCUCAUAUCACACCAAACAACAUCAAAACUACGGAUCACACUUCAAUUCAAUCCUAAUGAACUAAUGAACUUUCAACUUCCAACACUCACGCCGAGUCAUAUCAAUUCAACUCAGAAUGACCUCAAAUUUUGUAUGCAAGUACCAAAUGACACAACUGACCUAUACCAUCUCACAGAAUCACAAUCCAAACCCGAUAUCAACAAAGUCAAUUCCCGCUUAAACCUUUCAACCUUCCAAACCUUCAACUUUCUAAUUUUCGCCAAAAAACAUCAUAUCAAUCUACAGACCUCCAAAUCUAAAUCCGGACACAUGCCUAAGUCCAAAAUCACCAUAUGAAGCUAAUAGAAUCAUCAAAAUACCAUUUCAGAGUCGUCUUCAAAAAAGUCAAACUCCGGUCAAUUCUUACCACUUAAGUUUCUAAAACAAGGAUCAUUCUUCCAAAUAAAUCCCAAAUCACCCGAAAACUGAAACCGACCAUACACGCAAGUCAGAAUGCAUAAUACGAAGCUACUCAAGACCAUAAACCAUCGAACGGAACUUUAAAGCUCAUAACGAUCAGUCGGGUCAUCACAUUCUCCCCCUCAUAAACAAACGUUCUUCCUCGAACGUGCCAAGAACCGUUCCAAAGUCAUCAAAUCACAAAAUGAACUCACCAUACACAUACUCACGGGUGAUCCCAAGUCACCCCAAUCCACAUAGGCCCGACAACAACAUCUCAACUAAAGAUUAUUCCUUUCAGCCAUAGCGAUAAGCGUUAGAACCAAAUUUCAGCAUUUGAUCAUACCCUAAAGACCCGAUCCCCUCACAUAUACCCUGUAUCAACCUCAACCAGCUAUAACAAACCAUAAGUAUGCUCACACGGUAUAACUAGACGACGGAGAACAUCACUUAUAUGCGCAUAGCAAUAAUUCUGAUCAUAAUAGCUGCCCAAUAAUCAACCUCGUAUCAACUACAACCCUGCUUUAAACCUUCCCAACACUUCCAAUGAUGUAAGAAACAUGUAAAUCUCAUAACCACUCACCCAAUCAACAAGUUACACCCAAUGCCACCUAGGCACAUACCUUGCAAUCUAAACCCCAACAAGCACAACUCGAAUAUAACUGAAUAUGAAAAAAGAAAUGCAUGGGAGAACUAUUGAACAAGUAGAUCAGGUACGACUCCCCAUCGGUAUCAUACUACGAAUCUGUUCCACAAUGGAGAAACAAAACAUAUGAACUAAUCACAAGGAUCUUAUCCUAAUAUGUCACAACCCCAAUUUCCCUCCGUAAGAUGUCAUGAUGACACCUAGUCUCUACGACUAGGUAAGCCUAACAUUCAAUAAUAGCUUGAUAGAAAUAAUUAACAAAAAUACUAAAACAAGUCUAAUAAACACAUAAAAUCUCCCGAAAUAGAAUCUCAACAAAUACUUUCCCAAACUGGUGGAACUGAGUCAUAAGCUCUACAGAGUAAGCUAAAAUGGCUAUUGCAUCACUGUCUGAAUGAAAAUACAACACGAAGUAAAGAUAAAGGAAAAUGGCUUCGAGGCAUGCGACCGUUGAGCAAACAUACCUUGAAGUCUCUGUAAAGGAGCUAAAAGCCGCUUACUAACGUCCGACACGAGCAGAUGUACCUGGAUCUG
rnacentral:lncRNA from 1 species